rnacentral:rRNA from 1 species
GAUGAACGCUGGCGGCGUGCCUAAUACAUGCAAGUCGAGCGAACGGACGAGAAGCUUGCUUCUCUGAUGUUAGCGGCGGACGGGUGAGUAACACGUGGAUAACCUACCUAUAAGACUGGGAUAACUUCGGGAAACCGGAGCUAAUACCGGAUAAUAUUUUGAACCGCAUGGUUCAAAAGUGAAAGACGGUCUUGCUGUCACUUAUAGAUGGAUCCGCGCUGCAUUAGCUAGUUGGUAAGGUAACGGCUUACCAAGGCAACGAUGCAUAGCCGACCUGAGAGGGGGAUCGGCCAAACGGGAAUGGAGACACGUUCCAGACUCCAAGGGAAGGCAGAAGGAGGGAAUUUUCGGCAAGGGGGGAAAGCCUGACGAGGCAAGGCGGCGUGAGGGAGAAGGGUCUUCGGAUGGUAAAACUCUGUUAUUGGGGAAGAAAAGAGGUGAAGGUAACGGGGCACACUUGGAGGGAACCAAUCAGAAAGCCACGGCUAACUACGUG